rnacentral:rRNA from 1 species
AUUGAACGCUGGCGGCAGGCCUAACACAUGCAAGUCGAACGAGUAGCGGAGGGGUGAGUAGUUUCUGGGCACCUGCCCGAUCGAGGGGUCUAACUACUGGAAAACGUAGCAACUACCGCAAACCAUCCUAUGUGCCGAAAGGGGUUUAGCUAGUCGGUGGGGUAACGGCUCCCCUAGGCGACGAUCCCUAGCUGGUCUGAGAGGAUGACCAGCCACACUGGAACUGAGACACGGUCCAGACUCCUACGGGAGGCAGCAGUGGGGAAUAGUGCACAAUGGGCGCAAGCCUGAUGCAGCCAUGCCGCGUGUGUGAAGAAGGCCUUCGGGUUGGAAAGCACUUUCAUCGAGGGGGCGUUACUCGCAGAAGAAGCACCGGCUAACUCCGUGCCAGCAGCCGCGGUAAUAC